rnacentral:precursor_RNA from 15 species
UCAUCGAAUCGAAACAGGAGAAUUGUGUCAUUCUUCAAAGUGGUUGUGAAAUGUUUGCCUUUUUAUGCCUAUUCAUAUCACAGCCAGCUUUGAGGAGCGACGCGAUGCUCAAGGCAAAAAAAAAAUCA